GACGAACGCUGGCGGCGUGCUUAACACAUGCAAGUCGAACGGAAAGGCCCUGCUUUUGUGGGGUGCUCGAGUGGCGAACGGGUGAGUAACACGUGAGUAACCUGCCCUUGACUUUGGGAUAACUUCAGGAAACUGGGGCUAAUACCGGAUAGGAGCUCCUGCUGCAUGGUGGGGGUUGGAAAGUUUCGGCGGUUGGGGAUGGACUCGCGGCUUAUCAGCUUGUUGGUGGGGUAGUGGCUUACCAAGGCUUUGACGGGUAGCCGGCCUGAGAGGGUGACCGGCCACCUUGGGACUGAGAUACGGCCCAGACUCCUACGUGAGGCAGCAGUGGGGAAUAUUGCACAAUGGGCGGGAGCCUGAUGCGGCAACGCCGCGGGCGGGAUGACGGCCUUCGGGUUGUAAACCGCUUUCGCCUGUGACGAAGCGUGAGUGACGGUACUGGGUAAAGAAGCACCGGCUAACUACGUG
rnacentral:rRNA from 1 species